rnacentral:rRNA from 1 species
UACGGAGGGUGCAAGCGUUGUUCGGAAUCAUUGGGCGUAAAGCGCGUGUAGGCGGCCCGCGAAGUCGGAUGUGAAAUCCCUUAGCUCAACUAAGGAAAGCCAUUAGAUACUGGCGGGCUUGAGUACGGGAGAGGAGAGUGGAAUUCCCAGUGUAGAGGUGAAAUUCGUAGAUAUUGGGAGGAACACCGGUGGCGAAGGCGGCUCUCUGGACCGAUACUGACGCUGAGACGCGAAAGCGUGGGGAGCAAACAGG